CACGCCGUAAACGAUGGAUACUAGCUGUUGGAGGUAUCGACCCCUUCAGUAGCGAAGCUAACGCGUUAAGUAUCCCGCCUGUGGAGUACGGUCGCAAGACUAAAACAUAAAGGAAUUGAC
rnacentral:rRNA from 1 species